rnacentral:lncRNA from 1 species
CUGCGAGCAGCCGGGAAGGCGGGGACCGGGGCCCUGCGGGCCUGCAGCGCCCCCGCACCCGGCUCCACGCGCCCAGGGCCGCCCCCGCGGAGGGAGGGGGCGCUAGGGGCGCGCCUCUCGCUCGGACACCCUUUCCCAGCUCGCGCCCCAGCUGUGGAGCUUACAGGAGGUAACUUAAACCCAAUUAUAGCCAGCUUUGGUUAUAAAGUUUUCUUGAAUGAAAACGUUUAGGAGGUAGGCCUGAAUUCAGAUGCUUCAAAGGCUCCAAGGUAAU